GACGAACGCUGGCGGCGUGCUUAACACAUGCAAGUCGAACGGUAAGGCCCUUCGGGGUACACGAGUGGCGAACGGGUGAGUAACACGUGGGUGAUCUGCCCUGCACUUCGGGAUAAGCCUGGGAAACUGGGUCUAAUACCGGAUAGGACCACUGCCUGCAUGGGUGGUGGUGGAAAGCUUUUGCGGUGUGGGAUGGGCCCGCGGCCUAUCAGCUUGUUGGUGGGGUGAUGGCCUACCAAGGCGACGACGGGUAGCCGGCCUGAGAGGGUGACCGGCCACACUGGGACUGAGAUACGGCCCAGACUCCUACGGGAGGCAGCAGUGGGGAAUAUUGCACAAUGGGCGCAAGCCUGAUGCAGCGACGCCGCGUGAGGGAUGACGGCCUUCGGGUUGUAAACCUCUGUCUUUGGGGACGAUAAUGACGGUACCCAAGGAGGAAGCCACGGCUAACUACGUGCCAGCAGCCGCCGCGG
rnacentral:rRNA from 1 species